GAAUCAAAUACUGAUUUGUAAUUAACAUUAUAGUCGUCCCUUUGAGUUGAGAACUUUUCUCUGCCUGAGGCAUAGUACAAUAUACCUAGAUACUCCUCUCUUUGCCAAGCUCAUUUUGAAAUACUUUCCCCUCCAAAUUGGGAGUCCUUUGCUUCAUCAGUUUGAAGAUGCUCAAGUUCUGAAUUAGAAAUGUGACAUUCACCAUUUUUAGUAUUAGUGGAACUUCUAUGAUUUGUAGAGAAUUCCCAUGAGCUUAGUUGUCCAGUAUUUCACCUUCAAAAGGGAAAACAUAGGGCGCCUGGGUGGCUCAGUGGGUU